ACAACGGUAACCACUAAGUGCAAAACAGAAAGGAAAACAAAUUAGCGCCAAAACGCAAAAAGCAAUCGCAGAUAACGAAAAACAUAACACUUCCAAAUGUUUUCACUCUCCCCUUCUCCACUUCUACACAAUCGUCUUCUUUUUCGCCAUAGAAACUCCAACUCUCCAUUUACAGUCCGCUCUUCUUCAAGCAUCCAAGAGAUCGAGAAAUCCCCGCAAGACACAGAAUUGAGCUCUGAGCUUUACUCUUCGGCGCCGUUUCCUUCAAUUAAAGUUGCGAAGCGAGUGGUCUUGGUGCGGCACGGGCAGAGCAGCUGGAAUGCUGAAGGAAGGAUCCAAGGGAGCUCUGAUUUUUCUGUUUUAACCAAGAAAGGAGAGGCUCAGGCCGAGACCUCGCGCCAGAUGCUUAUUGAUGACUCCUUCGAUGUCUGCUUCAGCAGCCCUCUGAUUCGAUCAAAACGAACAGCUGAAAUCAUUUGGGGAUCUCGCAAAGAGGAAAUAAUUACGGACUCUGAUUUGAGAGAAAUUGAUCUCUACUCAUUUCAAGGCCUUCUAAAGCAUGAGGGGAAGGAGAAAUUUGGUGCAGCGUUUCGUCAAUGGCAGGUAGAUGCUGCAAAUUUCAAUAUUGAUGGUCAUUACCCAGUGAGGGAAUUGUGGGCUCGUGCUAGAAACUGCUGGAAUCAAAUCCUAUUACAUGAAAGUAGGUCGGUUCUUGUGGUUGCUCACAAUGCUGUUAAUCAGGCUCUUGUUGCUACAGCUAUUGGACUGGGAACUGAGUAUUUCAGGAUUUUACUUCAGAGUAAUUGUGGUGUAAGUGUGCUGGAUUUCACCCCAGGAGCUGAGGGUGGGUCGCCCAAUAUAUGUCUUAAUCGUUUGAAUCAGACACCAAAUUCACCAGUUGCUGCUGGAAGUUCUGCUGGAAGAAAAACCAGUAAGCGGAUUAUACUUGUUUGUCAUGGAACCUUACAGGGUGAUGCAGAGGCUAGUUUUCCUAAUUCUGGGGAUCAGCCAAUGAAUAUGCUUGGAGUUAUCCAGUCCCAGAAAACUGCAGAGCUUCUUCUUGAUCUGAAAGUAAGCACUAUAGUCAACAGCCCUAACAAUGCUUGUGUUGGGACAGCCAUGGCCAUCUCCAGAGUGCAAGAAGCAGCAGAUUGCUUGGGUGCUGAUUGUGUGCCACGUUAUGUGGAAAUGAAACAAAUCAAUGAGCUUGAUGUCAGAGACAUCCUUCAGCAAUCAAACAAGGACGGAAGAGAAGCUCCAGCACAUCAGCCUGGUUUUUUGAAUCAGUUUGAGGAUAAAGCACUUUUAGCUCUGUGGGAACAGUCUGGAAAAGCUUGGCAAGCUUUGUUGAAUGAAUUAUCCGAUGAAUCUGACCCAGAAAAGAUUACUGUUGUAGUGGGUGAUCCUGCAAUUCAUAUAGCAAUGAUGGUACAUUGCCUGAAUCUAACUAAAGAGUGGAUGGGAUCAUUUCAUCUUGAUGCAGGUAGUGUUAGCGUUUUGGACUUCCCUGAUGGGCCAGCUGGAAGAGGUGUUAUUCGGUGCAUAAAUUACACAGCUCACUUGGGAAGAUGGUCUAUACCUAUUACAAGAUCAACAUUAGAUGAUGAAGAGUUUUGAUUGUGAAGAUAUCCUGUCAAUAUCAACUUGAAAUUGAUAAUUCAAUAUGGAAGUUAGCCAUCCUCAAAUGGCAUGUGACCAUGAUGUACAUUAAUCAGUUUGUGCUGGGACCCAUAAGUUAUUAAAAUAACUGUCAAAACCAGGGGUCAUCAUCAGUUAACCGAACCGAACCAAAUUGAGCUCGAUUUCGGUUUACCCAAAUAUAUUUUUAUAGUAACUAAA